GUCCAAUAUCCCAAAACCUAAGCCCUUAAUCCUUUUCAUCCCAGCAGCCGUCACACCCCUCACCCACUUCCCCUUUGCUUCGUCAAUCAGUAUCAAAUUUUCAGUUGUUCGCAAAUUGGUUCUCAUCAUUUUAAAGCGAGCAAUGGUGAUUCCAUUUAUAUUGAGAGUGAAGUUCUGUGAAGUCGAAGACAAGGUACAUUUGUGAAAUUUUUAGAGCAACAAUAAUAAGUGACCGAUAUUGAUCAAGCUAUGGUACAAUUGUAGACAAUGACGGAAGAAAAAGGAGCAGACUAUGCGACUUUAUAUCCCAAGCAAGACACUACUAUUGUAAUUGUUGUCAUAGAAAAUUAUGUAUUGUGAAUAUUUUGAAAUUCAACUAUGUAAUUAUGUGUAAGUUGAAACCUAUUUGGAAUCUAAAAUUUUGAUUUUUCGGUAAGUUAUAGAA